CAAUAGCGUAUAUUUAAGUUGUUGCAGUUAAAAAGCUCGUAGUCGGAUUUUGGCUGAGAACGAUCGGUCCGCCGUUAGGUGUGCACUGAUUGGUCUCAGCUUCCUGGUGAGGAGGUGCGCUUCACGGCCACUUAGUCACCGUGGUUACUUUGAAAAAAUUAGAGUGUUCAAAGCGGGCUUACGCUUGAAUAUAUUAGCAUGGAAUAACACCAUAGGACUCCUGUCCUAUUUCGUUGGUCACGGGACGGGAGUAAUGAUUAAGAGGAACAGUUGGGGGCAUUCGUAUUUCAUUGUCAGAGGUGAAAUUCUUGGAUUUAUGAAAGACGAACUUCUGCGAAAGCAUUUGCCAAGGAUGUUUUCAUUGA
rnacentral:rRNA from 1 species